rnacentral:rRNA from 1 species
UACGAAGGGGGCUAGCGUUGCUCGGAAUCACUGGGCGUAAAGGGUGCGUAGGCGGGUCUUUUAAGUCAGGGGGUGAAAUCCUGGAGCUCAACUCCAGAACUGCCUUUGAUACUGAGGAUCUUGAGUUCGGGAGAGGUGAGUGGAACUGCGAGUGUAGAGGUGAAAUUCGUAGAUAUUGGGAAGAACACCGGUGGCGAAGGCGGCUCACUGGCUCAUUACUGACGCUCAGGCGCGAUAGCGUGGGGAUCAAACAGG